rnacentral:misc_RNA from 1 species
UUUCCGUAGGUGAACCUGCGGAAGGAUCAUUAAAGAGCAUAUGCCCUUCGGGGUAGAUCUCCCACCCUUUGUUUAUAUUACCUUUGUUGCUUUGGCAGGCCCGUCUUCGGACCACCGGCUUCGGCUGGUCAGUGCUUGCCAGAGGACCCAAAACUCUUAUUAUUAAUGUCGUCUGAGUACUAUAUAAUAGUUAAAACUUUCAACAACGGAUCUCUUGGUUCUG